CACGUAGGGACCAAGCGUUGUCCGGAUUCAUUGGGCGUAAAGAGCUCGUAGGCGGUUCAGUAAGUCGGGUGUGAAACCUCCAGGCUCAACCUGGAGACGCCACCCGAUACUGCUGUGACUAGAGUCCAGUAGGGGAGCGUGGAAUUCCUGGUGUAGCGGUGAAAUGCGCAGAUAUCAGGAAGAACACCCGUGGCGAAGGCGGCUCUCUGGGACGGUACUGACGCUGAGACGCGAAAGCGUGGGGAGCGAACAGG
rnacentral:rRNA from 1 species